rnacentral:rRNA from 1 species
CGCUGGCGGCGCGCCUAACACAUGCAAGUCGAACGAGUGGAUGACCUUCGGGUCUGGAAGCUAGUGGCGGACGGGUGAGUAACACGUGAGGGAACCUGCCUCUCAGAGUGGGAUACCGUUUGGAAACGAACGUUAAUACCGCAUAACGUUACAGAGAUCGCAUGGUCUUUGUACCAAAGAUUUAUCGCUGAGAGAUGGCCUCGCGUCUGAUUAGAUAGUUGGUGAGGUUAACGGGCCCCACCAAGUCUACGAUCAGUAGCCGAGCUGAGAGGCUGAUCGGCCACACUGGGACUGAGAUACGGCCCAGACUCCUACGGGAGGCAGCAGGAAGGAAUAUUGGGCAAUGGGGGAAACCCUGACGCAGCAACGCCGCGUGAAGGAUGAAGGUCUUCGGAUUGUAAACUUCUUUUAUUAAGGACGAAGAAGUGACGGUACUUAAUGAAUAAGCCACGGCUAACUACGUG